CACCAGUCGGAAUAUCCUUCCUCGUGCCCCAGACUCUCCCUUUUCCCUCCGUACAUCCCACUGACAACUCGUUCGUAUUUCUUCCCCUGCCCCCCUCGAACCGACACGAUUCGAUAUCUCUCGAUCUCUGUUGCACUCGCCACAACCCACGAGCGCUAACCAGCGACCGGAUCGCCUGUUCAGCUCUCCCUUCUUCAAUUGGGAUUUUUUUUUUGCAACUCGCUCUCUCUCUCUCUCUCUGUCUCUCCCAUGCUGCACGGCCAGCACUGGUCCGCCAACAGUGUCGCGCGCCCUGGUGAAAACCAAAUGUGUUGUUGUUGGUGGAAAAAAAGGUGGAUGUGUGGAGGUGGCAGGGUCUUUUCGGAUAAUUUUCCAGAGAGAAUCCCCGGGUUUUAAACUAAUUGGAAGGAAAAAAAAAAUUGAGCGGCAUGGGGCGAGGAGAGGGGUGCUUGAUUGCUUAAUUUCAUUUUUUUCUAUUCAAUUUAAUUUUCGGUAAUGAGAUUCUGUAAUGAAUGCGUACGGGGGAUUAGAGCGAUGCUUGCAAUUGGGAAAAACAAUUAUUAAAGGAUUAUUUAUUUAUUUUCAGUGUCUGAAGGAUUCUUUUUAUGAAAAUCCUUUUCAGUAAUGUACCUUCUGGGUUUUUAUAAUUUUUCCACAUUUGUGCGAAACGACUACAGAGUCUUAUGAGAGCAUCAAUUUUCUUUUGAGAGAGAAAAUUUAAACAUUAAUUUUUUUGGAUCUGCAAAAAAGAAUGAAAAUUUUUUUUCCUAAAAUAAAAAUGCUCCUCAGUGUCACACUUGUAAAAUAAAUAAAUUAUGUUAAGCAAUAUCUCCCACAAAAAUGAGUAUUUCAUCGUAUGGAACAUUGAAGUUAAAUUACUCAUUGAAUGUUUCAAUGAUUUUAUUUCACUCCAAUACAAUUCCCAAUGUUGAAAUCACCUCGUUAAUCAAAUUAUAUUAAUUGAAAAUAAUUUUCCGAGCAAUAUUGAAACACAGAAAAAAAAUUGCUGAGCGAUUGCUUGUCUUGGCAAACGUCCUUCGCAAGGUUAAGAGCUGACUCGACAUAAUCCAUGAUUUUUAUGACUAAUGCAAUUACAAUCCCGAAAAUAACUGUCGUGCUCGAUAAGACUUCUGACCACGUCAUCCAGAGCAUUUCAAAACACCUCACAUACGGCGCAAAAAAAUGGCAAAUUCAAGAUUUUGUUUUUCUGGAUUUUAGAAUUCAGUCACUUUUGACUAUGGACCAGUUUUCACUGAAUAUCUCGCAAUCUAUGAUAGAUAGAAAAAUUCUUAUCAGUACCUUUUUUGUGGAGCGAAUGAAGCCCUACAACAAAUGUAGUGACAAAAAAUUUUCUAUCUCCCUUAAAUUGGGAGAUAUCGUACAAAAACUGAGAGUGACAAGUUACGAAUUAACAAAUUAUGAUGAAAAUAACAUUAUUUACUUUUUUAAUCCCAUUAGUUAAACUAUCUUCAAUUCAUGAUAAAACUAGUUACAAAACUUCUCAACCUGUAGAAAUAAGAGACAACGAACGAGUGGAAGCGAUGUAAUAAAGCACACACAGACACUAACACUGUCUCCAGUUCAUGAUCUAGGCGUAAUCAAUCUUCUCUUACGUAUAGCCCACGCCCUGAAGUAUAUUCCAGUGUCCAUUGUACCCUGGCUUUGUGAGUACCGGUAGAAUACACACACUAAAGGAAGAGGAGAUAACCAGUGUGAAGUAGAAAACCUUCGUGAGGGGUAAGACAACGCUCGACUGGGAAGAAUAACAACGAAGAAUGGAGUAAAGGGGUACAAUGGAAAGAGCUAACACGAAGGAGCACAAGAAUGGAGUUUGGAAAAGAAAGAAAAUGUUUAUUUUUUCGCAAAAGUUCCCGGAAAAAUAAAUCUGCAAAACACCACCAGGCAAAUUGACAGAGUAUUAUCUAUCACCGCAUGUCCAUGUCUUAUCCAAUGAAAAUCAGCAGAGGUUUACUGUUGUGUGUGGGUUCGAGGCCGCCAGUCAGCCGGUAAUACGCUCGAUUGCUUUACAUGUCGCACAGUAGUUCCGUUAUAUCAGGGAGGAGUUUCAAUAAAACCGAUAAUAAUAAAAAAAAAAAAAAGGCCAAAGGAAAACAUAAGGACAAUAACAAUUGCCAACUCAUCGCCAAUGUCCCCAUCCACAAUUAACGAGAACUGAUGGAAUAUCAGAGAUGAGUGAACAUAAAAUGCUGAUGUAAAACGUGUUUGCAAUGGUGAUGUGUAUAAAUCACAGUGUCCCCGAUAAUUUUGUUAUUUUGUUAUUGAUGUUUUGCAUCACCGGAAAAUUUUCAAUUUUUUUUUUCUCUCUCUCUCUCGUUAUGAUUAACUCGAUGAUGAUAAUUCAUUGGAAGUAAUAUCACUGACCAUGGACGACAGUAUCACCUGUUUGGAUCGGUUCAUCCGGUUUAUCCAGUUCAAGUACUUUUUGAUGAAGUACACAGCCCAAAACCGGACAUCGAGGGUUGGUAUGGAAUUAUUCUCAGUGGGUAGAAUAAAAACGUGUUUUAUUUGCAUGAGAAGUUAUUGAAAAUUACGAGGAAUUGUCACAGAUGAAGAAAAAAAAAAUAAUGAAAAAUGUGGUAAAAUGGAGUGGGGUAAAAUGAACCGAAAAUCAGAUAAAUUAACGUACCAGCACCGGACUUUUUAUCGAGAGCUGUGGGAAUAAAAUUCUGGUGCUAGCACCUGAAUCUGUUCGAGUAUGAAUUUAUUUCUGGUGCCAUCAGUAGAAUUUUUAUUGUAGUCUACAAACAUUUUCCUGGAAUUACCACGAAAAAUUUUUAUUAAACAGAAAAUCUACCGUGGUAAGGCCUAAUUUUCUUUUGGCCCGAACAUCAUUCGCGUGUCAGCACCAGAAUUACCUGAUCACACCAGUAAUUUUCUACUGCAAAUCCAGGAAAAAUUCUGGUGCUCUCACGUGAAUUUUUCCGGCCCUGUCCAAAUGACCUCAUUUUUUACCCCAAAAAACCCCAACAAAAAUCAUCAACGGGGUAACAAAGAGGCGAACUAAUGCACAAGAAAAUUUCCGUAAAAAAUAAACGAUGAAGAUCUGCAUUUUCAAAGACAACAUGAAAAGAGAGAGAGAGAGAGACAGUAGACAAAAGAAUCCAGUGAGAAAGAGAUGAGGGAAUAACGGUAGUGAGUUGUUACGAUGUACGAUGGCCCUGAUUUCUCAUGUUUAUGCACCUUACUAGCGUCACGAGAUUAUUCCUUCACGGUGAGUCACUCAAGAACUGAGAUGGUACAUGAAUUCUGAAAUUCUGAUGAAAGAACAUGAAGAGAUUGAACCAAAAAAUAAAUAAAUAAAUAAAUGCAAACGGGAGUGAGAAAUAAAUUGAAGGAUUUGCGGUGGGGUAUGAAACUCUAGGUAGAAAAUAUCGAGUAAUUUUUACUGGAGCUCCAACCGAAGCGAUUGGAUACGGGAAUGGCGGUGGGGGGGGGUAAAAAAUUAUGAGCCUUGGGAGGAUGUCAAGAUGAGACGAGGAUGAUGCCCCUCGGCUCUGAGAUACACUGAACGCUUUAUUUAUACGGGUGAGACAAGUUGAGAGAACUUUGGUACGAGACGCCGAGUUUUUCUCUUGGCGAGGAGGGGAGGGUGGGGGGGAGGAGGAGUUCCUAUCUAUUUCUCUGCGCUCUUUUCCCCGUUUACUAACGAUUUCUCCACGUUCAGCCGGGCGUACUUUGCAAUAGACGACGGGCUUCAGUAUUUAUGCGAGGUUGGGAAUGGGAAUUGCGAAC